rnacentral:tRNA from 1 species
GUCAGUGUGGCCGAGUGGUUAAGGCGGUAGAUUCGAAUGCCCUUUGCUCCAGCAUCCUUGGAUAAGGCUCGAUUAUCUACUGGGUUCGCCCGCGCCAGUUCGAAUCUGGUCGCUGACG